CAGGUACAGAGGGAUGCUCCGGGCGACCGGAUGCGGAUCUCGAAAGCCUGUCCCAGUUCGGACUGGAGUCUGCAACCCGACUCCACGAAGUUGGAUUCGCUAGUAAUCGCGCAUCAGCCAUGGCGCGGUGAAUACGUUCCCGGGCCUUGUACACACCGCCCGUCAAGCCAUGGGAGCCGGGGGCGCCUGAAGUGCGUGACCGCAAGGAGCGUCCUAAGGCAAUACCGGUGACUGGGGCUAAGUCGUAACAAGGUACC
rnacentral:rRNA from 1 species